rnacentral:rRNA from 1 species
GUGCCAGCAGCCGCGGUAAUACGUAGGUGGCAAGCGUUAUCCGGAAUUAUUGGGCGUAAAGCGCUCGCAGGCGGUUUCUUAAGUCUGAUGUGAAAGCCCACGGCUCAACCGUGGAGGGUCAUUGGAAACUGGGAGACUUGAGUGCAGAAGAGGAGAGUGGAAUUCCACGUGUAGCGGUGAAAUGCGUAGAGAUGUGGAGGAACACCAGUGGCGAAGGCGACUCUCUGGUCUGUAACUGACGCUGAGGAGCGAAAGCGUGGGGAGCAAACAGGAUUAGAUACCCUGGUAGUCCACGCCGUAAACGAUGAGUGCUAAGUGUUAGAGGGUUUCCGCCCUUUAGUGCUGAAGUUAACGCAUUAAGCACUCCGCCUGGGGAGUACGGUCGCAAGACUGAA